CCUACGGGAGGCAGCAGUGAGGAAUAUUGGUCAAUGGACGCAAGUCUGAACCAGCCAUGCCGCGUGCAGGAAGACGGCUCUAUGAGUUGUAAACUGCUUUUGUACGAGGGUAAACGCAGAUACGCGUAUCUGUCUGAAAGUAUCGUACGAAUAAGGAUCGGCUAACUCCGUGCCAGCAGCCGCGGUAAUACGGAGGAUUCAAGCGUUAUCCGGAUUUAUUGGGUUUAAAGGGUGCGUAGGCGGUCGGAUAAGUUAGAGGUGAAAUCCCGAGGCUCAACUUCGGAAUUGCCUCUGAUACUGUUCGGCUGGAGAGUAGUUGCGGUAGGCGGAAUGUAUGGUGUAGCGGUGAAAUGCUUAGAGAUCAUACAGAACACCGAUUGCGAAGGCAGCUUACCAAGCUACUUCUGACGUUGAGGCACGAAAGCGUGGGGAGCAAACAGGAUUAGAUACCCGGGUAGUC
rnacentral:rRNA from 1 species